UACGAAGGGGCUAGCGUUGCUCGGAAUUACUGGGCGUAAAGCGCACGUAGGUGGAUCUUUAAGUCAGGGGUGAAAUCCUGGAGCUCAACGUCCAGAACUGCCUUUGAUACUGAGGACCUUGAGUUCGGGAGAGGUGAGUGGAACUGCGAGUGUAGAGGUGAAUUCGUAGAUAUUCGCAAGAACACCAGUGGCGAAGGCGGC
rnacentral:rRNA from 1 species